GACAAGAAAUAACAAUACGGGGCUACUGCUCUGUAAUUGGCAUGGGGGCGACCUUCACCCUCGCCCGAGUACCCAUUGGAGGGCAAGUCUGGUGCCAGCAGCCGCGGUAAUUCCAGCUCCAAUAGCGUAUAUUAAACUUGUUGCAGUUAAAAAGCUCGUAGUUGUACUUCACGUCCCCCGCAGUGUUUUUCCACUUGGCGGACGCCUCGUUACUUUGAGAAAAUUAGAGUGUUUCAAGCAGGUUUCGCCUGUAUAAUUGAGCAUGGAAUAACCUUGUAUGACCCUGUCGUACCGUUGGUUGACUUUGGGUAAUGGUUAAUAGGAACGGUUGGGGGCAUUCGUACUCGACUGUCAGAGGUGAAAUUCUUAG
rnacentral:rRNA from 1 species